rnacentral:rRNA from 1 species
GACGAACGCUGGCGGCGUGCCUAACACAUGCAAGUCGAACGGACAGGUCCUGCUUUUGUGGGUUGCUCGAUUGGCGAACGGGUGAGUAACACGCGAGUAACCUGCCCUUGACUUUGGGAUAACUUCAGGAAACUCGGGCUCAUACCGGAUAGGAGCUCCUGCAGCAUGGUGGGGGAUGGAAAGUUCCGGCGGUUCGGGAUGGACUCGCGGCUUAUCAGCUUGUUUGUCGGGUAGUGGCGUACCAAGGUUUUGACGGGUAGCCGGCCUGAGAGGGUGACCGGCCACAAUGGGACUGAGAUACGGCGCAGACUCCAACGGGAGGCAGCAGGGGAGAAUAUUGCACAGUGGGCGGAAGCCUGAUGCAGCAACGCCGCGUGCGGGAUGACGGCCUACGGGUUGUAAACCGCUUUCGCCUGUGACGAAGCGUGAGUGACGGUAAUGGGUAAAGAAGCACCGGCUAACUACGUG